rnacentral:rRNA from 1 species
AUUGAACGCUGGCGGCAGGCCUAACACAUGCAAGUCGAACGAGUGGCGGACGUGUGAGUAAUGUCUGGGAAACUGCCCGUUGGCGGGGGAUAACUUCUGGAAACGGUCGCUAAUACCGAAUACCAUCGGGUGGGCCCAGAUGGGAUUAGCUUGGAGGUGAGGUAACGGCUCACCUAGGCGACGAUCCCUAGCUGGUCUGAUAGGAUGACCAGCCAAAUUGGAACUGAGACACGGUCCAGACGCCUACGGGAGGCAGCAAUGGGGAAUAUUGAACAAUUGGCUCAAGCUGGAUGCAGCCAUGCAGCGUGUAUGAAGAAGGCCUUCGGGUUGUAAAGUACUUUCAGCGGGGAGGCGUUACUCGCAGAAGAAGCACAGGCUAACUCCGUGCCAGCAGCCGCGGUAAUAC